AACGAACGCUGGCGGCAUGCCUAACACAUGCAAGUCGAACGAGACCUUCGGGUCUAGUGGCGCACGGGUGCGUAACGCGUGGGAACCUGCCCUUAGGUUCGGAAUAACUCCCCGAAAGGGGUGCUAAUACCGGAUAAUGUCUUCGGACCAAAGAUUUAUCGCUUUUGGAUGGGCCCGCGUUGGAUUAGCUAGUUGGUAGGGUAAAAGCCUACCAAGGCGACGAUCCAUAGCUGGUCUGAGAAGAUGAUCAGCCACACUGGGAAUGAGACACGGCCCAGACUCGUACGGGAGGCAGCAGUGGGGAAUAUUGGACAAUGGGCGAAAGCCUGAUCCAGCAAUGCCGCGUGAGUGAUGAAGGCCUUAGGGUUGUAAAGCUCUUUUACACGGGAUGAUAAUGACAGUACCGGGAGAAUAAGCACCGGCUAACUCCGUG
rnacentral:rRNA from 1 species